ACUAGAUUAACGGGUUUCGAUCCCGUAACAUGUUCGUUAACAACUAAAUACCCAACCCAGCGGGCUUUAACCUA
rnacentral:tRNA from 1 species